rnacentral:ncRNA from 10 species
GCCGGGAUAGCUCAGUUGGUAGAGCAGAG